rnacentral:rRNA from 1 species
GGACUACUGGGGUAUCUAAUCCCGUUCGCUCCCCACGCUUUCGUGCCUUAGUGUCAGCAACAGCCCAGUACCCUGCCUACGCCAUCGGUGUUCCUCCCAAUAUCUACGGAUUUCACUCCUACACUGGGAAUUCCAGGUACCUCUACUGUGCUCUAGCUGGUGAGUUCGAAUAAUGUACCCCCGGUUGAGCCGGGAUCUUUCACUAUUCGCUUUACCUGCCACCUACGCAACUCUUUACGCCCAGUAAUUCCGGAUAACGCUCGGAUCUUCCGUAUUACCGCGGCUGCUGGCAC